rnacentral:rRNA from 1 species
UACAGAGGGUGCGAGCGUUGUCCGGAAUCACUGGGCGUAAAGGGUGCGCAGGCGGCCAAGUGUGUUAGGCGUGAAAGCCUGAGGCUUAACCUCAGAAUUGCACCUAAAACUACAUGGCUAGAGCAUUGGAGAGGGUGGCGGAAUUCACGGUGUAGCAGUGAAAAUGCGUAGAUAUCGUGAGGAACACCAGAGGCGAAGGCGGCUACCUGGACAAUUGCUGACGCUCAGGCACGAAAGCGUGGGGAGCAAACAGG